UUCCGGGUCUUGUACACACCGCCCGUCACACCACGAAAGUCGGCAAUACCCGAAGCCGGUGGCCUAACCCGCAAGGGAGGGAGCCGUCGAAGGUAGGGUCGAUGAUUGGGGUG
rnacentral:rRNA from 1 species